AUGUCAACAUGAGCUAAUCUAGGAUUACAAAAUAGCGCCUCCCCACUAAUAGAACAAUUAACUUUUUUUCAUGACCAUACAUUACUAAUUCUAGUAAUAAUUACAAUUCUAGUAGGCUACCUAAUAUUUAUACUCUUCUUCAAUAAUUACACCAACCGCUUUCUACUACAUGGACAAAUUAUUGAAAUAAUCUGAACAAUUUUACCGGCUAUUAUUCUUCUAUUCAUUGCCUUCCCAUCUUUACGGUUACUAUACCUAUUAGAUGAAAUUAGUGAACCAGUCAUUACACUAAAGGCAAUUGGCCACCAAUGAUACUGGAGUUAUGAAUAUUCAGAUUUUAUUGAUUUAGAAUUUGACUCCUACAUAAUCCCAACCAAUGAGCUUCCAACAGAUGGAUUCCGGCUAUUAGAUGUAGACAAUCGGGUGGUCCUCCCUAUAAAUAGACAAGUGCGUAUACUAGUAACUGCUGCCGAUGUAAUUCACUCCUGGACAGUACCUGCUCUCGGUGUAAAAGUAGAUGGAACCCCAGGACGACUAAAUCAAACCAACUUUAUAAUCAGACGCCCUGGACUAUUUUUUGGGCAAUGUUCAGAAAUCUGCGGAGCUAAUCACAGUUUUAUACCAAUUGUAAUUGAAAGUGUAUACACAAAUCAUUUUAUUAAAUGAAUUUCA
rnacentral:rRNA from 1 species